rnacentral:misc_RNA from 1 species
AAGUCGUAGCAAGGUCUCCGUAGGUGAACCUGCGGAGGGAUCAUUACCAAAGAUGGCGGGCCUCCGGGCCCCUCCCCAACCCUUUGCUUGACCAAACCAUUUUCGCCUUCGGGGCAGAGGCGUCCGCCGCCGCCCCCGGAGGACCCGACCGAACGCUGUCUCUUUACGUCGGAGUAUUGAUUGAAUAAAUGAAAA